GUAAGCAUGAGUGUGCAGCCAACUAUUUCAAUUGCCUAUAUAUAUAUAUAUAUAUAUAUAUAUAUAUAUAUAGGCAAUUGAAAUAGUUGGCUGCACUCUCGGAUUUCC